AUUGAACGCUGGCGGCAGGCUUAACACAUGCAAGUCGAACGGAGUGGCGGACGGGUGAGUAAUGCCUAGGAAUCUGCCUGGUAGUGGGGGAUAACGUCCGGAAACGGGCGCUAAUACCGCAUACUAUCAGAUGAGCCUAGGUCGGAUUAGCUAGUUGGUGGGGUAAAGGCCUACCAAGGCGACGAUCCGUAACUGGUCUGAGAGGAUGAUCAGUCACACUUGAACUGAGACACGGUCCAGACUCCUACGGGAGGCAGCAGUGGGGAAUAUUGGACAAUGGGCGAAAGUCUGACGGAGCAACGCCGCGUGAGUGAUGACGGCCUUCGGGUUGUAAAGCUCUGUUAAUCGGGACGCGGUACCGGAAUAGAAAGCCACGGCUAACUACGUGCCAGCAGCCGCGGUAAUUC
rnacentral:rRNA from 1 species